rnacentral:rRNA from 1 species
UCGUAGCCACAUCAUAUUGUGCUGUGAACCCAUCAGAUUUCACAAGCUAAGCAGGGUUGGGCCAGGUCAGUAAUAAGAUGUGGGAAUACGUAGGAUGCUGCAGGAA